rfam:Chloroflexi bacterium RBG_16_70_13 RBG_16_scaffold_4316, whole genome shotgun sequence.
AGCCUAUCGAGAGUGGUGGAGGGACCGGCCCUGCGAAGCCACGACAACCUGCCGACGGCGACGCCGGCAAGGUGCCAAGUCCGGGCAGGACAACCACCUGCGAGAUAGGGA